CCGCUGGUCCGCCGAGCUGCGGCGGGAGCCCCGGCAGUGUGCUGAUGCAAGGAAAAAAAACUCUCUCUCUCUACUCCCGUAAGAAAAAACUCUCUUGCCUCUUCUCUCUCCUCGAUCCCCUUUCUUCACCUCACCGCGGCCGCCUGAUUCCGGUCAUCCCCGGAGUUCCACGCCGGCCAGAUCCCUUCCCCGAGGUCGCCUCUGCCCGCUCGACUGCCCCUACCGAACCCUAACCCACCGCCGCCCGACGGCAACCCAAUCUCCGGAUCCGGUGCCCGUGACGCGCCUCCCACAACCCCGCCGUGCGCCGCUUCCCCCGGCCACGGCUGCCGCGCGACGACGACGACGACGCCCUUGCCCUCCUCUUGCGCCUCCUCUUUGCUCCUCCUGCGCUGGCAGUGUAGCCGAGGCGUUGGUGGUGCACAAUGGUUCUCUUUGGGCCACAACGCCUGAGGUGGCAGCUGCGGAAGAGCAGCAGACCAAGAUUCCGAGGAAGGGAGCCGUCAUCAAAGGGAAGAUCAACAACGACUUGGUUGACAAGAAUGAUGACAUCGACACGGGGUUGUGGUGGCGGCGGCGGCGGCAACAACGACGACGAAAAUACAUCAACACGUGGCUACGAUGGUGACGAAGGAGAUACAUCAACACGUGGCUACGACGGCGACGACGAUGACGAAGAUACAUCAACACAUGGCUACCACUACUAGGGAAAACCUUAUACACAGAGGUAUAGCAGUAGCGCUGGUUAGAACAGAGCGCUAUUGCUAGUUACCCGUAGCGCGUGUCAACAAAGAGCGAUGCAGCUAUGGUUGUAGCAGUAGCGCGUCCGCAGGUAAAAGCGCUACUACUAUAAUUCCCACACGGGUGCCGGUAGGCUAGGAAUAGUAGUAGCGAUGCUGCAAAAAGAACGCUAUCGUUAAGUGCCUUGUAGUAGCGUGUUUUUUAUAUAGAGUGCUAUUGCUAAAAAAAGAAAAUAAAAUGGAAAAGAAAUAGAAAAGUAAAUAAAAAUGAAAGAAGUAGAAAAAGGAGAAAUGAAAAAGGAAAAUGUAAAUAAAAACAAAACAAAAAGAAAAAUAAAGGAGAAAGGCAUAGCAGUAGCGUUUGUUGUCAGAAAGCGCUACAGUUACUCUAGCAGUAGCGCGUUUUGUACUCACACGCUAUUGCUACGUCCUUAGAUAAAAGGAAAAAAAGGAAAAUAAAUAACUACUUUCUAUAGCAGUAGCGUGUUUUCGUAGAGAGCGCUAUAGCUAACUUAGCUAUAGCGCUUUUUGCCUACCCGUGGUACUACUAUUUUGACUUAACCUCGCGCGGCUCAAAAUUUUGCUAAGUCAUUUCCCUCCUCUUCUCCCUAUCCCCCAACUCCUCCGUUGACACCGUCGAUCGCCCUGCUCGAUCGAGGCCGCCCUUGACCUCACCGUUGCCGCCCUCGACCUCACCGCCGUCGCCUUCGACCUCGCCUCCGCCGCCCUCGACCUCACCGUCGCCGCCCGAGCCCACCUAGGACCGCCCUCGCCGCAGCCAACCGCAAGGCUCUCCCUCUCCUCUCCCCUGCCCUCCUCUCUCUCUCUCUCUGUGCUAGGGCAAUUCAUAUGUUGCUGCUGUGAUGUUCAUAUGAACUCUAGGUGUUCAUAUGAACCCUAGAUUUGUUUAGGGCAAUAGGCAUUUUUUUAGCAUUUAGGAAAAAAGAUUAGCAAAUUUUUAGGAAAUUAGCUAGUGCAAUUUCUUUUAAAAUGCCUAAACAGUAAUUCCAUUUAGCUUUAAAUUAACAGAUGGUAUAUAAAUAAUAGAAGCAUUUAUCUUUAAAUUAAUAGAGGCUAUAAACAAAAAACAUUAGCAUUUAGCUAUAAAAAAUUAUUUGGACUAUUUGAGUUAUUUGGAGUAUGGACCUGAAUCUGGUCCAAAUUUCAUUCAAAUGAAAUUUGAAUUAUUUGGACUAUGGACCUGAAUAUUUUUGAAGAAAUUGAGUGUACGUACUAAGGUUUUGCUGUGGAAAUUUUGGUGAGGUCAGAAGGGUUAGAGAAAAUGGAGUUCCUUUGCAAUUUCUAAUAAGGUCAAGUAUUGUUAGAAUAUAUGCUCUAAAACAAUUUGGAUGAAAAGAAAAUAAUGUGUGUGUGUGUGUGUGAGGAAUAGCUAGAACAGAAUUUGGGUUCUAUUCUAGGCAGAGAAGUGUUUAGUGAGGUCAUUUUGCAAAGUUUUUUGGUUUUUGAAAAGACCACUAUUUUUCAAGGAAAAGAAUUUAGGCAUGUUUUAUUUUGAAGAUAAUCCCUUCCUAGACUUUUAGCUUUAGACAAAAAAUGAAAGUAUUUAGCUAUAAAUAAAAAACAGUAGCUAUGGUAUUUAGCUAUAAAUAAAAAACAGAAUUGUUUUUCUUUUUAGAAACUUGGUUAAAGUAAUUGUUGCUAUGUAAAUGAAAAACAAGAUUGAUGUUAUAUGAUAUAUGUCAUUGAUGUUCAUUUGCA